AGUGAACGCUGGCGGCAGGCCUAACACAUGCAAGUCGAACGGCAGCACAGUAAGAUUUUGCUCUUACGGGUGGCGAGUGGCGGACGGGUGAGGAAUACAUCGGAAUCUACUUUUUCGUGGGGGAUAACGUAGGGAAACUUACGCUAACACAGCAUAUGUCGUACGGGUGAAAUCAGGGGAUCUUCGCACCUUUCGUGAUUGAACGAGCGGAUGUCGGGUUAGCUAGUUGGGGGGGUAAAGGGCCAGCAUGGCAAGGAUCCGUAGCUGGUCUGAGAGGAUGGUCGGCCACCUUGGAACUGAGACACGGUCCCGACUACUACGGGAGGCAGCAGUGGGGAAUAUUGGACAAUGGGCGGAAGCCUGGUCCAGCCAUCGCGCGUGGGGUGAGAAGGCCUUCGGGUUGUAAAGCCCUUUUUUUGGGAAAGAAAAGCAGCAGGUUGAUACCCCGCUGGUCUGACGGUAACCAAAGAAGAAGCACCGGCUAACUUCGUG
rnacentral:rRNA from 1 species